UGCAAGUCGAACGCGAAAGGGACUUCGGUCCUGAGUAGAGUGGCGAACGGGUGAGUAACGCGUGGGUGAUCUACCCUAGAGUGGGGGAUAACGUUCCGAAAGGGACGCUAAUACCGCAUGAUGUUCCGGGUUUGAAGACCUGGAAACCAAAGCCGGGGACCGCAAGGCCUGGCGCUCAAGGAGGAGCCCGCGUCUGAUUAGCUAGUUGGCGGGGUAAUGGCCCACCAAGGCGACGAUCAGUAGCCGGCCUGAGAGGGCGGACGGCCACACUGGGACUGAGACACGGCCCAGACUCCUACGGGAGGCAGCAGUGGGGAAUUGUUCGCAAUGGGCGCAAGCCUGACGACGCAACGCCGCGUGGAGGAUGAAGGUCUUCGGAUUGUAAACUCCUGUUGAUCGGGACGAAAAGCUUCGACCUAACACGUCGGAGACUGACGGUACCGGUUGAGGAAGCCACGGCUAACUCUGUGCCAGCAGCCGCGGUAAUACAGAGGUGGCAAGCGUUGUUCGGAAUUACUGGGCGUAAAGGGCGCGUAGGCGGCCUUCUAAGUCGGACGUGAAAGCCCCAGGCUUAACCUGGGAACUGCGUCCGAUACUGGGAGGCUUGGAUUCGGGAGAGGGAUGUGGAAUUCCAGGUGUAGCGGUGAAAUGCGUAGAUAUCUGGAGGAACACCGGUGGCGAAGGCGGCAUCCUGGACCCA
rnacentral:rRNA from 1 species